UAAAUAGAAGCGAUAAAUUGCAAUCAGUUUCGACCUGUUUUUAGGUAAAUUAAUACCCUAUUUA
rnacentral:tRNA from 1 species